ACUUGAUGUAAGCAAGUUCAGGACCUCGUCUGACAACCAUCUCAGAUGCCCUCUUCCUUUCUUUUUCAUGGCCUGAUCCCCUAUAAUGUUGCACUCUUUUGGAAUUCUGCUCUUCAUGAGAGUUCCAGUACCUGCCAACCCUUUCUUUAUCAGGGUGUCCAGGAGAUUAAUAGUUGUAAAGAACUUUUCCAAAACAGAUGUCAAAGUCUACAGCAACUAAAAACACUACUCCCAACUCCCAACUCCCAACUGAUUAUGUGGAAUUUUUUCGUCUUUGAGAUGUUCUAGAUUUACAUUCAACUAUAAAGGUACACAUCUUGGUUGACUUUGUUGUACUGUUGUACAGCAAACUGCAAGGCAUCUUGAACAUCUUGACUGUUGAUGUCUGCAUUUUGUGGAGCGCUGACGAGACCAGCGGAUGCUAUGCCCACAGAGACCACCAAGAGUGCAGCAACAACCUUACAAAACAUGAUUUUAAGCUUUGAUUUUAGAUGUUAGCUAAAAUAACCACACCGGAUCAGGAAAAAGCAGAAGAAUGGCAGAUGUUGAAGCUGUGUUUAAGUAUAAUAAAGUUUUAG